GAGGAACGCUGGCGGCGUGCCUAAUACAUGCAAGUCGAGCGAACAGACGAGGAGCUUGCUCCUCUGACGUUAGCGGCGGACGGGUGAGUAACACGUGAAUAACCUACCUAUAAGACUGGGAUAACUUCGGGAAACCGGAGCUAAUACCGGAUAAUAUAUUGAACCGCAUGGUUCAAUAGUGAAAGACGGUUUUGCUGUCACUUAUAGAUGGAUCCGCGCCGCAUUAGCUAGUUGGUAAGGUAACGGCUUACCAAGGCAACGAUGCGUAGCCGACCUGAGAGGGUGAUCGGCCACACUGGAACUGAGACACGGUCCAGACUCCUACGGGAGGCAGCAGUAGGGAAUCUUCCGCAAUGGGCGAAAGCUUGACGGAGCAACGCCGCGUGAGUGAUGAAGGUCUUCGGAUCGUAAAACUCUGUUAUUAGGGAAGAACAAAUGUGUAAGUAACUAUGCACGUCUUGACGGUACCUAAUCAGAAAGCCACGGCUAACUACGU
rnacentral:rRNA from 1 species